UCUUCAUUAGCUUGCUUUUGAAGAUCAGCGGCGGACGGGUGAGUAACACGUGGGCAACCUGCCUGUAAGACUGGGAUAACUUCGGGAAACCGGAGCUAAUACCGGAUAAUCCUUUCCCUCACAUGAGGGAAAGCUGAAAGACGGUUUCGGCUGUCACUUACAGAUGGGCCCGCGGCGCAUUAGCUAGUUGGUGAGGUAACGGCUCACCAAGGCAACGAUGCGUAGCCGACCUGAGAGGGUGAUCGGCCACACUGGGACUGAGACACGGCCCAGACUCCUACGGGAGGCAGCAGUAGGGAAUCUUCCGCAAUGGACGAAAGUCUGACGGAGCAACGCCGCGUGAACGAUGAAGGCUUUCGGGUCGUAAAGUUCUGUUGUCAGGGAAGAACAAGUACCGGAGUAACUGCCGGUACCUUGACGGUACCUGACCAGAAAGCCACGGCUAACUACGUGCCAGCAGCCGCGGUAAUACGUAGGUGGCAAGCGUUGUCCGGAAUUAUUGGGCGUAAAGCGCGCGCAGGCGGUUCCUUAAGUCUGAUGUGAAAGCCCCUGGCUCAACCGGGGAGGGUCAUUGGAAACUGGGGAACUUGAGUGCAGAAGAGGAGAGCGGAAUUCCACGUGUAGCGGUGAAAUGCGUAGAGAUGUGGAGGAACACCAGUGGCGAAGGCGGCUCUCUGGUCUGUAACUGACGCUGAGGCGCGAAAGCGUGGGGAGCGAACAGGAUUAGAUACCCCUGGUAGUCCACGNCGUAAACGAUGAGUGCUAAGUGUUAGAGGGUUUUCCGCCCUUUAGUGCUGCAGCAAACGCAUUAAGCACUCCGCCUGGGGAGUAC
rnacentral:rRNA from 2 species